rnacentral:lncRNA from 1 species
UUUCCUUAAUACAAAAUAAUCACCUUCCAUUUUCUACUUCAAUUAUUUACUGCUUGAAUUCACUCGUGCUUCAUCCAACUUUAUCUUCACUUGUGACACUUUUUUCUUUUAUUGACAUUUUUCUUCUCAAAUCUACCUUUUCUCUUAUCAGCUUAUUAGAGUUUUUCUAAUUCUGAUUUAUGUUGUUCUUUUAUAUCCUAUAUAAUUUCCUUUAAUAUUCAGCUAUUUGAAAAGUAUGAUCUUCUGCUGCCAUGGGAUGAUAUUCUAUUCCUUACUCUAUUUUCAUAAAACAUUGUAAGAAAUUUGACUAAUAAUUUAGUAUACUAGUUCCUCUAUAGAGUAGAUUCUUCUACCUAAAGUUCAAAUAAUAUCUUUAUAGUUUUCUCAGUGCCCACAGUCAGCCCUCUGGAAUAUUGGUUUCUCUGCCUUCCUAGGUUCUUUGUCUUUGUAAUAUCUUGGACUGUUUUUAGUUCAUCUUUUUCUACUUUUCCCAUUUUAUGCUAAUCUUCAGGACCACAUAUCCAUGUACCAAUCCUUAUAAAAAUCAAACCUUAGGCUUUCUUCCAAGUUCAAGUAUAUUACAUUAACCCCAGUUGAUAUCUUGGGCUUAGAAUCUCAUAGCCUAAAUUAUUUUGCCACCAAAUAAGACCUGAUUCAAAUAGUACCUUGUUUAUAUAUUUAUCUCUCUCUAUAUAUAUAUAUCUCCAUAUACAUAUAUAGUGUUGUGGCUUAUUAGGUGGAUAUAUAAUGAUUUUAUUAAAAUAGUUCUAGAUGAGAGGGAAGUGUCAGAAAAAGUAGAGUAUACAUAAAUUUUAUAGAAAAUAACUUGACUUUAUUUAGUCAUUUGUUUGCCAGAAAAUUUUCACAUCAACUUUAGAAUACAAUGAAAUUGACAUCAUUAUUACAAUACCAAAUAUUAACAUAAUAUAUGUAUCAUUUGCUAUUUUCCGUAUACCUUCUGGCUGUUGCUCUUUUCAACACCACAGUGCACAAAAUUUCAUUAUAUUUUUAGUUUUUUAAUAGAAAUGGUUGCGACAUGAAGAUAUUGCAUUUGCAAAAUUGUGGGAAGAUAGCCAUAAAAAUGCAUACUUAAAUUUACAACAGAGAUAAAGGGUAUAUGUCCUUGGCACUUCCAUGGAUCCAGACAUUUCAUUAUAUUUCUGAACUUACCAGAGAUAUUUAUUAUUUAAUAAGAAAGUGGAUAGGUGUAUCUAAGUACCUUUAAUUCAUUUAAAAUUAGCCUAUUAUUUUCAUUAUUAAGAGUAAUUUCAUGAGAAGUUGCAUUCAGACUAAUUUCUACAACAAUGGAAAACUCCAGGUACCUAUUAAGUGAGAAAUAUUCUCUACCUUGAACUGCUGGUAUUAUAUGCCAUCACCACAACUAGACUGAGGAGACCUUUUCACUUUUCAAACAGCUAAUGUUUCAUUUUCAAGCUAAUUCUAAUUAGAAUUUUAGUAAAAUAGAGGGUAGCAACAUGUCAUUUGACACUUACAUACUAAUGGAGGAAACAUGACUGAAUUACAUUUAGUGUCAGUUAAUAGACUCUUUUUCUACACUUCUUAAAUGACACCGUGUUUAGAAAACC